rnacentral:rRNA from 2 species
UAUUGGUCAAUGGCCUAACGGCUGAACCAGCAACUUGGAGGAAUGUACAGGGAAAACAGGUAAAAAUGUGAUGUACCUACUAAUAUUAGUGAUUAAUAUUAGAUUAAUUAAGUUAAUUAAAAUUCAAAGUAGAUUUUGAUUAUGACAGAAUUUGCUUAUGUCUUGACCAAGUCACGUGCCAGCAGUCGCGGUAAUACGUGGAAGAUAAGCGUUAUUCAUGUUUAAAAGGUUUAAAGGGUACCUAGACGGUUAAUUUAACAUUAAAAGUGAAUUAAUUAACUAGAGUUUAAUGUAAGAAAGAUUGAGUACGGUUAGUGUAGUGAUUUAAUACUAUGAUACAACUUUGGAACUGGUAAAGGCGAAGGCCAUUUCUAUGUAAAAACUGACGUUAAGGGACGAAGGCUCGUAUCUAAAAAACAGGAUUAGAUACCCUGGUAUUCCGAGCAGAAAAUGAUGAGUGUCAUACAUAAGAAAUUUUUUGUGUAUAAAUGAAAGUGUAAGCACUCCACCUCAAGAGUAACGUGGCAACAUCGGAACUGAAAUCAUUAGACCGUCUCUGAAACCCGUAGUGAAGUAUGUUGUUUAAUUUGUUAGCCCUCAAAAAACCUUACCACAAUUUGUAUUACUAUUAUAUGUAGUAACAAGCGUUGCACGGCUGUCUUCAGUCAAUGUUGUGAGAUUAUGGUUAGAUCCAUUAAAUUGACGUAAACCCUUACUUUAUUUGAUAUAAAGUAGUUCGCCGAUAUAUUGGUAAUGAUAUAAGGGACCAAGACAAGUCAUCAUGACCUGAAUAUUGUGGGCUAUAGAC